ACGCUGGCGGCAGGCUUAACACAUGCAAGUCGAACGGUAGCAGGAGAAAGCUUGCUUUCUUGCUGACGAGUGGCGGACGGGUGAGUAAUGCCUGGGAAUCUGGCUUAUGGAGGGGGAUAACGACGGGAAACUGUCGCUAAUACCGCGUAGUGUCGAGAGACGAAAGUGCGGGACUGAGAGGCCGCAUGCCAUAGGAUGAGCCCAAGUGGGAUUAGGUAGUUGGUGGGGUAAAGGUCUACCAAGCCUGCGAUCUCUAGCUGGUCUGAGAGGAUGACCAGCCACACUGGAACUGAGACACGGUCCAGACUCCUACGGGAGGCAGCAGUGGGGAAUAUUGCGCAAUGGGGGGAACCCUGACGCAGCCAUGCCGCGUGAAUGAAGAAGGCCUUCGGGUUGUAAAGUUCUUUCGGUAUUGAGGAAGGUUGAUGUGUUAAUAGCACAUCAAAUUGACGUUAAAUACAGAAGAAGCACCGGCUAACUCCGUGCCAGCAGCCGCGGUAAUACGGAGGGUGCGAGCGUUAAUCGGAAUAACUGGGCGUAAAGGGCACGCAGGCGGUUAUUUAAGUGAG
rnacentral:rRNA from 1 species